CCUGGUUGAUCUUGCCAGUAGUCAUAUGCUUGUCUCACAGAUUAAGCCAUGCAAGUGAAAGUACAUAUGUAAAUAAUAUAUUGAAACUGCGAACGGCUCAUUAAAACAGUUAUAAUCUACUUGAUGUUUUUAAUAUAAGGAUAACUACGGAAAAUCUGUAGCUAAUACUUGUGAAAAUACCUUUUGAUAUAUACAUAUGUAUGUAUCAUUAAGGUAUGUAUUUGUUAGAUAUAAGAAUAAAAUAAAUAUAAUUGAAUUAUAACAAAGAAGAAACACAUAAAAUAUGUGUAUUAUCAAUCGAGUAUCUGACCUAUCAGCUUUUGAUGUUAGGGUAUUGACCUAACAUGGCUAUGACGGGUAACGGGGAAUUAGAGUUCGAUUCCGGAGAGGGAGCCUGAGAAAUAGCUACCACAUCUAAGGAAGGCAGCAGGCGCGUAAAUUACCCAAUUCUAAAAAAGAGAGGUAGUGACAAGAAAUAACAAUACAAUAUCGAAAAAUGAUUUUGUAAUUGGAAUGAUAGGAAUUUACAAGGUUCCUAGAGAAACAAUUGGAGGGCAAGUCUGGUGCCAGCAGCCGCGGUAAUUCCAGCUCCAAUAGCAUAUAUUAAAAUUGUUGCAGUUAAAACGUUCGUAGUUGAAUAUUAAAGAAUCCGAUGUUUCAUUUAAACUGGUUUGGGAAAACCAAAUAUAUUAUAUAUUUUGCUUUGUUCAAAAUAAGGUUUUCUAAUAAAUUAUGUUUUUAUCAGAUAUGACAGAAUCUUUUUUAAAAUCUCUUCAAUAUGCUUUUAUUGCUUUUGAGAGGUUUUGUUACUUUGAGUAAAAUUAAGUGUUCAUAACAGACGGGUAGUCAUGAUUGAGUUCAUUGUGUUUGAAUACUACAGCAUGGAAUAACAAAUAUGAAUAAGCUAAUUAUUUUUUUUUUCAUAAUUUUUUUUGAUAUUCUUAUUAGCUUAGUUACGAUUAAUAGGAGUAGCUUUGGGGGCAUUCGUAUUCAGAUGUCAGAGGUGAAAUUCUAAGAUUUUCUGGAGACGGACUACUGCGAAAGCAUUUGCCUAAUCUAUUUCCAUUAAUCAAGAACGAAAGUUAAGGGAGUGAAGACGAUCAGAUACCGUCGUAAUCUUAACCAUAAACUAUACCGACUAGGUGUUGGAUGAAUAUAAAAAAUAUAUAAAUAUGUAGCAUUUCUUAGGGAAUGUUGAUUUUAUAUUAGAAUUGCUUCCUUCAGUACCUUAUGAGAAAUCAAAGUCUUUGGGUUCUGGGGCGAGUAUUCGCGCAAGCGAGAAAGUUAAAAGAAUUGACGGAAGGGCACCACCAGGCGUGGAGCUUGCGGCUUAAUUUGACUCAACACGGGAAAACUCACUAGUUUAAGACAAGAGUAGGAUUGACAGAUUAAUAGCUCUUUCUUGAUUUCUUGGAUGGUGAUGCAUGGCCGUUUUUAGUUCGUGAAUAUGAUUUGUCUGGUUAAUUCCGAUAACGAACGAGAUCUUAACCUGCUAAUUAGCGGUAAGUACACUAUAUUUUUAUUUGAAAUUGAAUAUAGGUAAUUAUACAUGUUUAUUCAGUGUUCAAAUUAGGAUAUUUUUUUUAUUAAAAUAUUCUUUUCCCUGUUCUACUAUAAUAAUUUGUUUUUUUUUACUCUAUUUCUCUCUUCUUUUAAGAAUGUACUUGCUUGAUUAAAUAAAGCUUCUUAGAGGAACAGUGUGUAUCUAACACAAGGAAGUUUAAGGCAACAACAGGUCUGUGAUGUCCUUAGAUAAACUAGGCUGCACGCGUGCUACAAUGAUAUAUAUAACAAGUUGUUAAAAAUGUACUUAUAAAUAAGUGUGUACAAUUUUUCCUGUACUGAAAAGUAUAGGUAAUCUUUAUCAGUAUAUAUCGUAAUUGGGAUAGAUUAUUGCAAUUAUUAAUCUUGAACGAGGAAUGCCUAGUAAGCAUGAUUCAUUAGAUUGUGCUGACUACGUCCCUGCCCUUUGUACACACCGCCCGUCGCUCCUACCGAUUGAAAGAUAUGAUAAAUUGUUUGGAUAUGAAUUAAAAUAAUGAAAUUUUAUAUUUCUGAUUUUUUCUAGAAGAACUGUAAAUCCUAUCUUUUAAAGGAAGGAGAAGUCGUAACAAGGUUUCCGUAGGUGAACCUGCGGAAG
rnacentral:rRNA from 1 species